rnacentral:sRNA from 1 species
ACAAAGCGUGAGACGACAGCUGCAUCUCGGCCGGCGCUGCAUGUCAUCCUCCGGUAGCGAUCGAUCGGAUUAGUUCACGCUGCACUCGAUGGAGGGGCUGAUGGUGUAGGGGAUGCUGACGCCGCACUUGGAGGGGAUGCUGGCGGCAUUGCCGGCGUUGAGGCCGCUGAUGCUGCCGGCCACGUUCUUGAGGCAGUUGCAGGCGGUGCGGCGGUCGGCGGUGGUGGUGGCGGCGGAGUUGAGGCUCCUGACGCCGCUGCAGCAGGCCGCCGACGGGCCGGAGCCGCCGCGGGCGUAGCUGAGGCAGGGCGACACGGCGGAGUUGACCUGGCCGCAGCUGAUGGCGGCCAUGGUGGUGUGUGGGCCCGCCAGGAGCAGAGCUGCCACGAGGGCGACCAACACCAGCUGUGCACGGGCCAUCUCGAUCUUGGUCGUGUGUGCUGACGAUCGAUCGACUUUGCUGCUGCUGCUGGUGUGUGGUGCUCGUUUGCUGCUGCAGGUGAGAUCGAUCGAUGAGAAUUCCCGGGAAUGUAGGGGGCUUUAAAUAGCUAUGAUUUCAUCUGUGCCGAUGCAUCGACCAAGUCAAAUGUAGUUACUACGUGGAAUAUAUAGUCCACCUAUAAUUAGAGAACAUAUCCUAUACACACAAGCUUUACUUAUGUACACACUAUACAUAUCAAUUAGCAAAUGUCAUAAAAAAUUUUAGAAAAAAUUGGAC